UACGAAGGGGGCUAGCGUUGCUCGGAAUUACUGGGCGUAAAGGGCGCGUAGGCGGUUGUGUUAGUCAGGCGUGAAAUUCCUGGGCUUAACCUGGGGGCUGCGCUUGAUACGGCAUGACUUGAGGAUGGAAGAGGCUCGUGGAAUUCCCAGUGUAGAGGUGAAAUUCGUAGAUAUUGGGAAGAACACCGGUGGCGAAGGCGGCGAGCUGGUCCAUUACUGACGCUGAGGCGCGACAGCGUGGGGAGCAAACAGG
rnacentral:rRNA from 1 species